CUCUUCAUCCUCCCGCGUCCUCCCGGGCUCGCGCCGCUGUCACUGGAGCCCGCAUCCUCCGCCUCCCGCCGCCGCCGCGACCCCGCACCGGGAAUCAAGCCGGCGCGGAAAACCGCAAGCUUGACUCCACGCCCACCUGACUGGACUGAGAAAACCGAAGAAGUUGGUGAGGGUACAGCAAUAAAUAGCAGGAGGAGCAGAAUUUGAAACAGCAGCAUGCCGGUCCUGCGCCUGGUGAAGGAUGACUCGCCAGAAAGCAAAGGCGCAGACCUACCUCCGCGAGCUUGGCGCGUGGCCCAGGAGGCUCCGCGAGCCCUUGUACGUAAGGAUCGUGGCGCCCACGCUUGAGAGCAGAGCUCAGUGCAAACUUCCAACAGUUCUUCCAGUUUCCAGGGAAACGAGAUUUGGAGCUGCUGCGCGUUGCAGAGCUGCCUCUCUGCUCCCCACAUGGGACCCCUGUGGCUGGCUGGUCUUGAGGAGGAAGGAAUUGAAGCCACCUCAUCCUUGAAGGGGCCCGUGAACGCGGUGUUUCCCCCUUUAGGGUAUAUUCACACUCCAUAAUGAUUCUCACCUGA
rnacentral:lncRNA from 1 species